GACGAACGCUGGCGGCGUGCUUAACACAUGCAAGUCGAACGGAAAGGCCCUGCUUUUGUGGGGUGCUCGAGUGGCGAACGGGUGAGUAACACGUGAGUUACCUGCCCUUGACUUUGGGAUAACUUCAGGAAACUGGGGCUAAUACCGGAUAGGAGCUCCUGCUGCAUGGUGGGGGUUGGAAAGUUUCGGCGGUUGGGGAUGGACUCGCGGCUUAUCAGCUUGUUGGUGGGGUAGUGGCUUACCAAGGCUUUGACGGGUAGCCGGCCUGAGAGGGUGACCGGCCACAUUGGGACUGAGAUACGGCCCAGACUCCUACGGGAGGCAGCAGUGGGGAAUAUUGCACAAUGGGCGGAAGCCUGAUGCAGCAACGCCGCGUGCGGGAUGACGGCCUUCGGGUUGUAAACCGCUUUAGCCUGUGACGAAGCGUGAGUGACGGUAAUGGGUAAAGAAGCACCGGCUAACUACGUG
rnacentral:rRNA from 1 species